rnacentral:misc_RNA from 1 species
ACACUUGAGACGCGGCGCACACGCAGAGACGCGCGCAGAUUUCUUUUCUUUUUUUUUUCGAAACUCCAACCAGCCCAGCCCUUCGCGCACACAACGCUUUCGUGUCGAAGAACCAGAGGCGACGCAUCGCGGCUCUCUGCACCGUUCGGGUAUGCGCGCUGAUGUAUUGUCGGCUGCCCCGUGAUUUUCGCCUUUCCCCAUACUACUUGCGAACUCAGACACCUACGUUCAGCGCACGCAAAACAGAAAGACGAACGAAAAGGCUACAGAGGGGGAUGGCGUCCUCUUCCACAGCCGACGACCAUAGCGCCGUUGCCGGCACAGUGGCAUCUUCGGCCUCGGUCUGCGGCAGCCGCGAAGCCGCUGCCUUGCCACCGACGGCGCUGCUCAAACUGGGCAGUACAAAGAAGCAAAGGACGGAGAGGGCGUUCUUGUUCGACCGCUACCCAAGCCGAAAGAUCGCGCUGCGGCUGGCAUAUCACGGUCACGUGCACGACGGUCUCGCAAAACAGAAGGAGACGGACAACACAGUGGAGGGACUCGUGUGCGAUGCGUUGCGGCGGCUUCGUCUCAUCCCGGAGGACGGGCCCCACAACUUUGGGCGGUGCGGUCGCACCGAUAAGGGCGUCAGUGCCCUCGGGAACGCCUUAUCCCUUACCGCUCGCGCGUCGUGCACUGCAGAUGCGGAGCCGCAGCUGCCGCCACUGGAUUACUGCAGCAUGCUCAACAACGUCCUGCCCUCAACGAUUCGCAUCGUUGGCUGUGCGUUGGUCGACGACGCCUUCGACGCACGCUUCUCCUGUGUCCAUCGCACCUACCGCUACUACUUUUUCCACCGCGGGCUGAACCUGGAAGCAAUGCAGGAGGCUGCCGCCUUCUUCCUCGGGACGCACAACUUCCGCAACUUCUGCAAGAUGGACGUUGUGAAUGUGAGCAACUUUGUGCGCACGGUGUUCUCGGUCGGCCUGCACCCGAGUGAGGCUCUGCCAGAGCUUAUUUCGUAUCUUGAGAUCAGAGCGAACUCGUUCUUGUACCACCAGAUUCGCUGCAUCAUGGAGGUGCUGUUUCUCGUGGGCCGCGGGCUGGAGGUCCCUAGCGUGGUCCAGACGCUGCUAGAGCGAGGUGAUCGCAAACCAACUUAUCCCCUGGCAGACGGUACCCCACUGGUACUGUGGGACUGCGGAUUCGACAAUGUUCAGUGGCAGAUGUCCCACUGCGCGUUUCAUGCGAUGGAGCAGGAGCUGCAGGACAUCAGCACCGCGCUUCUUAUACGCGCCACAUCUGCCGCCGCUAUGCGGUCCCAGUUAUUCCGCUGGUACACUGGUACCGCAGACAUGUUUCGCAAGGACACGCUGGAGAAAAGCGACACAUCAGGCGAGGGCCGCUCGCGCGCUGUUGCUUGGCGAGAUCCCGAGCUGCGGCGUUUGGAUAUGUGGUCCAUCACGGGGUGCGACUGGACAGACCCGGGCACCGCCGGCCAGAUCAAGGCGCGCAAGCGCGACCUGCUCUACUACCUCCGUACAGAAGCCAACAAAGGGCAGCCCCUGUCGACGACGACAAGCUGUGAGGAAAAGACUUCUCAGACCGCAGAAACCAUUGCCAGCGCCCCUCUGGCGCCGGUGAACUACGUGCCUCUCUUGCAACGCGAGACAGAGCGCACCUAUGAGGAGGAGGUGCGGGAGCUGAGCGGCAAGAAGCGCGCGCGCUACGAAGUGAAUGAGGCGAAGAAGGCGGCCGCUGCGGCGGCGCACAAAGAGGUGGUAAGCGAGGACUAAUAUCCUGACACGGACACGUGUGCCGAUCUGCACAAAUAAUUGCCGAAGGUGGUCUGCUCUUUGUUCUUGUCGAAGAAGAAGCGAACAGGAUGGUAUUCGUGAGAGGCGAUCGCGUGGCGCACCGCGUGCACGGCAACGCGAGCAUAUCUUCGAAGCACGAGUGAUCGCACAUGAUUUGGAAAGCGAAAGAAAAAAAAAGUCAUUCAAGAACGAAUGCAGACUUCUAGGUGAGCUGGCUUCUCCCCACGCCCCCAGGUAGCGCGACCCGCUUGAACGGCUGCUCGGGUAAGUGGAGUGGUGGAGCCUCUUCGCCAUACUUUGGUCGUGCUGUGACGCGGACAUCGGCGAAUGAACAAAGUGCGCUUCGCCGUUUCUCCGCGCCCCUCCUGUGCGACUUCAGGACUUUGCACGCACGCCUUGGAAUCAUCGACCCUCUGUGUUUCCUCACCGCUUUUGGACUCGUGCAUGCGGCCACAGCCUCUCAUUGUGCGGCAUCUCUGCAGCUCUGCAUUGCCUGCUUCGCUGCUCUUCUUUCCCCAGUGGCACCGCAUUUGUAUUGAAGCGUCGCCGAAC